UUAUAUGAGAGUUUGAUCCUGGCUCAGGAUGAACGCCGGCGGUGUGCCUAAUACAUGCAAGUCGUACGCACUGGCCCAACUGAUUGAUGGUGCUUGCACCUGAUUGACGAUGGAUCACCAGUGAGUGGCGGACGGGUGAGUAACACGUAGGUAACCUGCCCCGGAGCGGGGGAUAACAUUUGGAAACAGAUGCUAAUACC
rnacentral:rRNA from 1 species